CCUACGGGGUGCAGCAGUGAGGAAUAUUGGUCAAUGGCCGAGAGGCUGAACCAGCCAAGUCGCGUGAGGGAAGACUGCCCUACGGGUUGUAAACCUCUUUUAUCUGGGAGUAAAACGAUCCACGUGUGACUCUUUGUGAGUACCAUAUGAAUAAGCAUCGGCUAACUCCGUGCCAGCAGCCGCGGUAAUACGGAGGAUCCGAGCGUUAUCCGGAUUUAUUGGGUUUAAAGGGAUAGGAGGUGGAUGGUUAAGUUCGUUGUGAAAGUUGGCGGCUCAACCCUAUCACUGCCGUUGAAACUGGCAGCCUUGAGUACAGUAGAGGUGGGCGGAAUGCGUGGUGUAGCGGUGAAAUGCUUAGAUAUCACGAAGAACUCCGAUUGCGAAGGCAGCUUACUGGACCGCAACUGACACUGAGGCACGAAAGUGUGGGUAUCGAACAGGAUUAGAUAC
rnacentral:rRNA from 1 species